GGAGAGAUGGCCGAGCCGGCUGAAGGCGCUCCCCUGCUAAGGGAGUAUGGGCUAAUCACCCAUCGUGGGUUCGAAUCCCACUCUCUCCG
rnacentral:tRNA from 1 species